GCGUAGGUAGUAUAAUGGUUAUUAUCUCGGUUUCCCAUCACAUGGCCCAGUUUGCUGGGAUAACAUCGGUAUGUACCGAGGACCCGAGUUCGAUUCUCGGCCUACGCA